rnacentral:misc_RNA from 1 species
GAUGAAGAACGUAGCGAAAUGCGAUAAGUAGUGUGAAUUGCAGAAUUCAGUGAAUCAUCGAAUCUUUGAACGCACAUUGCGCCCUUUGGUAUUCCUUAGGGCAUGCCUGUUCGAGCGUCAUUUAAACCUUCAAGCUCAGCUUGGUGUUGGGUGACUGUCCGCCGCCUCCGGGCGCGUGGACUCGCCUCAAAAUUAUUGGCGGCCGGUACAUUGGCUUCGAGCGCAGCAGAAACGCGAACUCGGGCCCGUCGUAUUGGCUCCCAGAAGCUAUCUUCACAAUUUUGACCUCGGAUCAGGUAGGGAUACCCACUGAACUUAAGCAUAUCAAUAAGCGGAGGA